GACGAACGCUGGCGGCGUGCUUAACACAUGCAAGUCGAACGGAAAGGACCUGCUUUUGUGGGGUGCUCGAGUGGCGAACGGGUGAGUAACACGUGAGUAACCUGCCCUGGACUUUGGGAUAACUUCAGGAAACUGGGGCUAAUACCGGAUAGGAGCUCCUGCUGCAUGGUGGGGGUUGGAAAGUUUCGGCGGUUGGGGAUGGACUCGCGGCUUAUCAGCUUGUUGGUGUGGUAGUGGCUUACCAAGGCUUUGACGGGUAGCAGGCCUGAGAGGGUGACCGGCCACAUUGGGACUGAGAUGCGGCCCAGACUCCUACGGGAGGCAGCAGUGGGGAAUAUUGCACAAUGGGCGGAAGCCUGAUGCAGCAACGCCGCGUGCGGGAUGACGGCCUUCGGGUUGUAAACCGCUUUCGCCUGUGACGAAGCGUGAGUGACGGUAAUGGGUAAAGAAGCACCGGCUAACUACGUG
rnacentral:rRNA from 1 species